ACACAGUAGUUUAAUUAACUAUUCUAUAACUAAAGUAAAAGGCGCAUUUUUUAAUGCGCCUUUUUUUUAUUUGUAA
rnacentral:misc_RNA from 1 species